GCCUGGGUGGCUCAGUCGGUUGAGCGUCUGACUUCAACUCAGGUCAUGGUCUCUCGGUCUGUGGGUUCGAGCUCUGUGUUGGGCU
rnacentral:tRNA from 1 species